rnacentral:lncRNA from 1 species
AAAUGCAAAUGCCAGCAUACGCACGAGUCCAAAAUUAUCAUCCGAACAUAACAGAACCAUCAAAUCUCUGUUCCGAUGUCAAAUAUACAAAAGUCAAAUUUGGUCAACUCUUCCAACUUGAAGCUUCAAACAUGAAAUUCAUUCUUCAUAUCACUUCCAAAUAACCUAAAAACUAAAAUCGAUAAUUCACACAAGUUACAGUACAUCAUAUGGAACUACUCAUGCCCUCAACCUACCGAGCGAAGUAGAAAUUUUUUAAAAUGUUCGGUGAGACGGUUACACUAAGGUUUGAAGUAGUUUUAACCAAAGGUUUAAAUUUAUAAAAUGUAUCCACAAUAUUAGUUAUAUUGGAUUUAUCUUUAUCACCUUGAGAAUUUGUUGUGGAAAACUCUAUACAUGUAGUUGCAUUUACUGAAUACACAAACUCUUUCCAUCCACGCUGGAUUUGGAUCAUGGGAGAAAUGUCAAGCCUGCUGAAUUUACCAUACUUGAUAACCUGUAUAAGAAAUUCGUUAAAUAUUGAAUUCAUUUACUAUUGAAUUUCAUUUAAGUUUAUGGACCCAUAAAUCAAAUCCUAAAUCCACCUCUAUCUACGGAGAAUUUUUAUACAAGUAGCCAAUUAAAUUUAUUGUUUACUUUUCUAGUCAAAUACAUAUACUAUACACUGAUUAUGUACAAUUAUAUAUACACAUAUUAAAUAUAAAAUACAAAUGUAUUAUAUCUCCGCCGGUUAUUUUUAGUUUAAUCAAUUGACGGAGCGGCUAAUUGGGUUAAUUUUCAUGUUUUUAAAGCUUGAAUUUGGUGAAGGAAUUCAUUGAUAUGUAAGUGAAAAACUCAGAUUUAAUUUUUCACCCAUAAAAUUCGAGUAAAUGGCGUUUUAAUUAGCUGGUGAAUGUGUUGCAAAUUGCUAAUGGACACUGCAUCAUAUGAUUAGUAUGAUCUCUAUACCUUUCUUUUAAAGAAUUAACAUGCAUGCAUUUGCUAGCAGACGGAGAAAGAUGUAAAUAAUCAUGUGAUUAAUAUUUAUGGAAUAUGAGUACGAUCACAUCAUCAAGUGAGACUACGUUUAACUACAAUCCAUGUCACUUUUCUACAUAAGUUAUUCAAAUUAAUAUUGUAUAUAAAAAAGAAAAGGAGACUUAAUCUAAUAAGCUAGUGAUCUUCUUAGAGUAGUGCAGACCUCAGCUGAAAUAAAGUUUCAACUAGUAUAAAAACCUAUAUAUUUCUAAGAAAAAGAUUAGGACUAAUUAAAACCAAGGUUCCUACUUCUUCACCAUGUAUGGAUUAGCUGUUGUGUGAGUUUGACAAAUCAUGCUAUGUCUACGCUAGAUCUUCCAUUGUCAAGAUUAUCUCAAUUGAAUUCAUGCUGCCGGAGCAUAGUCAUAGUCUCCAUCAUCGUCGUCCCCACCUCCUUCUAAGCAUGCUGCGGGAGCAUAAUCAUACCCGUCAUCUCCAUCAUCAUCUUCAUCUAAACACGAUGUUCUCUUCUCGAACCCAAUAACCUUGAAAAUGCAAGACAUUGUAUCUUUCUUCGGACUAUAGAAAAAGAUUGAAAUAUGAGAUAUUGUGUGUGGUACCUAGCUCUUUGAUUAGAUAUGAAGAUCAAUGGUUUUGUGGUGUGUAUGAUUGGUGAGGAAACCAAUUGCUGAUAUAAAGGCACAAGCCAAUUCUGGACUCUUUUGAACGCAAGUUGGCACGUUAAGAAGUGUG